rnacentral:rRNA from 1 species
GAUGAACGCUGGCGGCGUGCCUAACACAUGCAAGUCGAACGAAGCACCUUACCGGAUUCUUCGGAUGAAAGUUUGGUGACUGAGUGGCGGACGGGUGAGUAACGCGUGGGUAACCUGCCCUGUACAGGGGGAUAACAGCUGGAAACGGCUGCUAAUACCGCAUAAGCGCACGAGGAAACAUCUCCUUGUGUGAAAAACUCCGGUGGUACAGGAUGGGCCCGCGUCUGAUUAGCUGGUUGGCAGGGUAACGGCCUACCAAGGCAACGAUCAGUAGCCGGUCUGAGAGGAUGAACGGCCACAUUGGAACUGAGACACGGUCCAAACUCCUACGGGAGGCAGCAGUGGGGAAUAUUGCACAAUGGGGGAAACCCUGAUGCAGCAACGCCGCGUGAGUGAAGAAGUAUUUCGGUAUGUAAAGCUCUAUCAGCAGGGAAGAUAAUGACGG